rnacentral:rRNA from 1 species
UACGGAGGGGGCUAGCGUUGUUCGGAAUUACUGGGCGUAAAGCGCACGUAGGCGGCUUUGUAAGUUAGAGGUGAAAGCCCGGGGCUCAACCCCGGAACUGCCUUUAAGACUGCAUCGCUUGAAUCCGGGAGAGGUGAGUGGAAUUCCGAGUGUAGAGGUGAAAUUCGUAGAUAUUCGGAAGAACACCAGUGGCGAAGGCGGCUCACUGGACCGGUAUUGACGCUGAGGUGCGAAAGCGUGGGGAGCAAACAGG